CCCAGAUUAAAUUAAAUUAAACUAAAACUGAGUACUUUGUUUCACUUGUACGCUGUUCACAGCUGGCAAAAUGUGCGCAAGCUUGAUUAGAGAUGCUGGCAUGUGGAGCCCCCAACUGUGAAAGGCGUGCUGUUUCUAUUCCAAUGUAUUGCCUAGGCAACAGACGAAGUGCAACUCUUGGUGGUUCGAAAGUGAUCUCGAUCCAUUGAACUGCAAAG